rnacentral:rRNA from 1 species
CCUACGGGUGGCAGCAGUGAGGAAUAGUGGUCAAUGGGCGCGAGCCUGAACCAGCCAAGUAGCGUGAAGGAUGACUGCCCUACGGGUUGUAAACUUCUGUUAUAAAGGAAUAAAGUGAGGCACGUGUGCCUUGUUGUAUGUACUUUAUGAAUAAGGAGCGGCUAACUCCGUGCCAGCAGCCGCGGUAAUACGGAGGAUCCGAGCGUUAUCCGGAUUUAGUGGGUUUAACGGGAGCGUAGAUGGGUUGUUAAGUAAGUUGUGAAAGUUUGCGGCUCAACCGUAAAAUUGCAAUUGAUACUGGCAGCCUUGAGUCCAGUUGCGGUAGGCGGACUUCGUGUUGUAGCCG